AGCAGCCGCGGUAAUUCCAGCUCCAAUAGCGUAUAUUAAAGUUGUUGCAGUUAAAAAGCUCGUAGUUGAAUUUCGGGAUCAAUACGUCGGUCGUGCUUCGGUACGUACUGGCGUAAUUGAUUUCUCCCUUCUGACGAACCAUGAUGUCAUUAACUUGGUGUCAUGGGAAAUCAGGACUGUUACUUUGAAAAAAUUAGAGUGUUUAAAGCAGGCUCACGCUUGAAUACAUUAGCAUGGAAUAAUGAAAUAGGACGUUCGAUCCUAUUUUGUUGGUUUUUAGGAUCAACGUAAUGAUUAAUAGGGAUAGUUGGGGGCAUUAGUAUUCAAUUGUCAGAGGUGAAAUUCUUGGAUUUAUUGAAGACUAACUACUGCGAAAGCAUUUGCCAAGGAUGUUUUCAUUAAUCAAGAACGAAAGUUAGGGGAUCGAAGACGAUCAGAUACCGUCGUAGUCUUAACCAUAAACUAUGCCGACUAGGGAUCGGAUGAUGUUAAUUUUUUUCAAUGACUCAUUCGGCGCCUU
rnacentral:misc_RNA from 1 species